rnacentral:sRNA from 1 species
UAAGAGAGGCGAUACAAACGUGUUAGCGC